GCUUACACAUGCAGUCGAACGGUAACAGGCCUUCGGGCGCUGACGAGUGGCGGACGGGUGAGUAACGCGUAGGAAUCUGCCUUAUAGUGGGGGACAACGUGGGGAAACCCACGCUAAUACCGCAUACGCCCUACGGGGGAAAGCGGGGGAUCGUAAGACCUCGCGCUAUAAGAUGAGCCUGCGUUAGAUUAGCUAGUUGGUAGGGUAAAGGCCUACCAAGGCGACGAUCUAUAGCUGGUCUGAGAGGAUGAUCAGCCACACUGGGACUGAGACACGGCCCAGACUCCUACGGGAGGCAGCAGUGGGGAAUAUUGGACAAUGGGCGCAAGCCUGAUCCAGCAAUACCGCGUGUGUGAAGAAGGCCCUAGGGUUGUAAAGCACUUUCAAUGGGGAGGAAAACCUGCCGGUCAAUACCCGGUAGCUUGACAUUACCUAUAGAAGAAGCACCGGCUAACUCCGUGCCAGCAGCCGCGGUAAUACGGAGGGUGCGAGCGUUAAUCGGAAUUACUGGGCGUAAAGCGUGCGUAGGCGGUUCGUUAAGUCAGAUGUGAAAGCCCUGGGCUCAACCUGGGAACUGCAUUUGAAACUGGCGGACUAGAGUUUAGUAGAGGGGAGUGGAAUUUCAGGUGUAGCGGUGAAAUGCGUAGAUAUCUGAAGGAACACCAGUGGCGAAGGCGACUCCCUGGACUAGAACUGACGCUGAGGUACGAAAGCGUGGGUAGCAAACAGGAUUAGAUACCCUGGUAGUCCACGCCGUAAACGAUGUCAACUAGCCGUUGGUCCUAUAUACAGGAUUAGUGGCGCAGCUAACGCAUUAAGUUGA
rnacentral:rRNA from 1 species